rnacentral:rRNA from 1 species
GAUGAACGCUAGCGGCAGGCCUAACACAUGCCAGUCGAGGGGGAAGUUACUUUCGGGUAACUGAGACCGGCGUACGGGUGCGUAACGCGUAUACAAUCUGCCUUUCACUGGGGGAUAGCCCGAAGAAAUUUGGAUUAAUACCCCAUAGUAUAGUAGUGUGGCAUCACACAACUAUUAAAGCUUAGGUGGUGAAAGAUGAGUAUGCGUUCUAUUAGCUAGUUGGAGAGGUAACGGCUCCCCAAGGCUAUGAUAGAUAGGGGUUCUGAGAGGGAUGUCCCCCACACUGGUACUGAGAUACGGACCAGACUCCUACGGGAGGCAGCAGUGAGGAAUAUUGGACAAUGGUCGGAAGACUGAUCCAGCCAUGCCGCGUGCAGGAGGAAGGUCUUAUGGAUUGUAAACUGCUUUUGUAAGGGAAGAAUAAGGACUACGUGUAGUUUGAUGACGGUACCUUAUGAAUAAGCAUCGGCUAACUCCGUG